rnacentral:lncRNA from 1 species
CCGGCUCUGCUCCGCCUCCAGCGAAGGCCCCUGCCAAAGACCCCCGCGCCGGCCGCCGCCAAUAUCAAUGAAGGUGAGGUCAUGCCGUUCGGGGUUUCUGAAGAUUCCGGUCACGCCUUACUCUGCCAUGACAAUAGUUUGUGGGUUCUGCAGCAAUGUCUUUUCGCCUCGCGGUUUUGAGCAGUCAACAGACGUGUUGUCUUGUUGUCUUGCUACUGGCCAUUGUAUGCCUUCCGCGCAUUCUCAACACCUUCCUUUCGGGAAUUACAACGCAGGUGAAACUUCGGCACGGAUGUUGCGCUAAGUGCCGAUCAGCCUCCUGGCCGCUUGGGAGUCGUGGGACUUGAUUUGGUGUUUUCGAUACUCGUGUGAAUUCUCGUGAGCGCUCCUUGCCCAGCCAAGCAUUCGGGAGCCCUGGGAGCCGUGGUGGUUUGUGGCCACCUGGAGCUACACGACCUAUUUUGUAUCUGGGCAAUCCUCGAACCGUUCAAUGCCUUAAUCGGAAUAGAAAGCCGCGGACUCGUGAGCAGCAUGAUCACUUCUGUGUCGUCCCCGUUACGCUGCGAUAGCUUAGCUGCACAGUACUGCUUCAGCUUCUCCGCUGCCGGUUCUCUGCCAACCGCUUACCUGCCGGGCGCUAGCAUCCAGCCCAAGCUGAUUUAGGCUGAUGGUGGCUUGGUACGGGACACUGCCGUUGUCUCGGGCUGGUGCUAUCAAGGCUGUUGGUUGCCCGGGUAGGGUUGCAAGGAAAUGUGUGUACCCCAUUAACGUAACAGUACCGAGGAGGGUAGGAGAAGACAACACGCUGUGGCUGCAAGGCUAGUGACCGGCUAGCUUCUUGGUGUAACAUCGCCUCCUAUUUUGUAACAUCACCUCCGAAUAUUUUGAUGCACCGUACGCGCAUUAUGGUCAGUCCAACCAGACGUACCGGGCUCCGCAGCGCCAGCAUUCCCAGAAGUCGGCGCCACGGCCGAACUCAGCCCGCUACCACCGCUCCAGUUCGCGUUCUCAGUGGCUAACGAGGGCCUGACGUUUCGAUGGCUCGGGUCGACACGUGCAUCCUCAUUAUUCUUUUUCGCUUACUAAUCAGAGUUAACGUGGCGACUGCCGGAAAUAUGCAAUUUUCGCUCCCGGAUUUAUUGUAGUUGGUGGGGGGAAAAAUACAUGACCGUAAGGGAAAAAGAGACUUGCAGCUGCUAAGCCUGCUUUAACGACUGCGCAAGAUUGUAUGAUUCAGAAAAGGUUAAAAUAAAGGACGAUAUGACGAUGGUUUUUUU